UUCUCCGGACUCUACACCCUCCUGCCUUGGGGCCUCCCCAAGGGGCAGGGGUUUCGGUUGAAGCGCAGGGAGGGCGGCACGGAGCCGGCUUCGUCCCGGGUCGGCAUCUCCGGGCUCCCAGCCCCGCUCCAGCCCCAGGCGGGCAGCGCGGAGCCGGCUUGGGUGCCCGCCCGGGUCUCCCCGCCGCAAUGCGCCCACGCGGCCACAGGAGGGCAGCCCCGAGCAGCCGGUUUGUCUUCCCUCCGCGGCGCCGCUCCUCGUGGCUGCAGUGCUGGGAGCGCACCACAGGAGGGCAGCACUGAGCCAGGUUUCCUCCAUGCUGGGUGCGGUUGCCCCAUGAUACGUGUGAUACCCGCACUAACGACACACACUCGUGCGCGGAGCUGUGCAAGGGUGAGAGAUGAACACCUACAUCACUAUCGCCAUGGACAGAGACAGAGAGAUAUCAUUGUGUUAAUGAUGGUGUUUAUUACACACCCACACACACUAUCUGCAUAUCAGUAUCUGCACACAGCCGUACUGGAUACACCUCUGUACCAUGUAAGUUUUCCAAAGUACGCACGCACUGAAUAACGUCCCUUCAGCUCCCUGUUCUCACUUUUAAAAUAUUUUUGUGUAUCUGAUAUGCUACAUUAAUCAGAUGUCUCUACUUAAUAUCAAACACAUUUUUGUGACAUGGGUAGAUCUGGCUGAAAGCCUGCGGACAUUACAUUAAGCAGGCAAGGGGGGCAGGACCACAGCUGGACUUACAGAACUCACAAAAACCUGGAGGCAACUGGGGAGCCACACAGUCCUCCUCCUUCUUGCAACAAUGCAAUGCAGCUUUCCCAUCGCAGGGACCCAGCCCUUAGAGAAAAAGCCCGCACCCUAUUAGAAACAGCAAGACUUGUACUAAAGGCAGUCAGAUAAGAUCUGAAACACCUGAACUAAAAAAAACCCACCAAGGAACUCAUAAAUCUCCAGAGCAUUUUAUUUUUAUUGGGACCAUUUUUUCUUUUGAGACGAGGGACAGCUGAACUUCGACAAAUUAUACCAAAGCACCAUAACUUUACUGGGCCUUUUUUUUUCAGUUCCUCAAAGAAAUCAGGACUGAUGUCCUAUAGUGCAUUAAUCAUUGUAUACUAGGAACCAUGUGUUGCACACUCCUUUACCACUGGUCCAUCAGAAGGGGAAAUAUUUGCAUUGCACAAGUAAGAACACAGAUUGGAUUGGCAGCCACAAUGAAAAAGUUCAUCCUUCAGCCAGCUCGCAACAGGAAAGGCCCACGGCCAAAUCUUCUCAGCGUAGAAAGGCACCAGCCACAAGGUGAAGUUUCUUAGACCGUUUAUUAUUUGACUGUGCGCAUCUCAGGCCCUCUUGCUCCUACCGUUUUCAUGCUGAGCACACCAACUCCCUUUAGGAUCCUUUGGGCACAGGAUGAAUCCUUCAUCCUCAUGGGUCAUGGAGCUGAACAUUAAAUGCUUUCAAACACCCAUAGAGCCUUAACUACCAGACACAAACAAACUGCACCACAAACAGCCUGAAAUUGGCCCCGCAACCUACAGCCUAAGCAAGCUACAGCCAAGCCACAAACAGAACCGAGCACAAACCUACAUUUCUACGCUGACACCGAGAACGGCUCAACAACCCAACCAAGGAAAACCUACACACUGCCUUCAACCGCAUCUGUUCUGAUCCACUGCUUAACAAUCCCAGCCAUGCAACCUGCAAAACCCUUCACUGCUGCAUAUCAAAAUGCACAACUAGCACAAAGCCUCAACCUCCCUGCACAAAAUCGGGGCCAAACCAAGACUGAGUGCACGGUGCAACUAGAAGUGUGUGGCUGCUUGCCCCUAGCAGUUACCCAUGUAUGACAACAGCAGGACCUAAGACACGAAUCCUCUGUGUGUGGCUGCCCCAGUGCUCCCAGCUUCCACAAGGUGCUAAAUACAAGGUUGACAACUUGGGGAUGCAACUUGCAGAGAGAACAGACACCGUGUCCAAACUCUCUUACCUUUCAGUCCUGCUGGGCGGGCAGGGGUUUCUUCCCUCCAUAUUGGCUAAUGCCUGCCCAUCUGCUGUCUUGUCUGCUUCUCCUUCUGAGGGUUAAAAAACAGACAGACACUGGAUUUAAGUCAGCAUGUCAGAGGACGAGACUAUAGGCCCCAACUUCUACCCCUCUUUUACUCUCACCUGGACCCAUGAUCACUCUCCCCACGGAAAGCAGGGAGGGCAGAGAUAUGCAGGUUCGGCUGCCGACAUCCAGGCCAGCCAAAAGUUGAGUGCAACUGUCCAGGACUCUGGACAGAACUGCUAGGGUGGCACCAUGAACGUUGACCACAAACACCGGAAACCCUGCUUACAGGGCAGUGCUCCCUGCACACAGCUGGCAGCUGGGGCAUGAAGCCCAGACACAACCUGCAAAGUCCUGAAUGCCAGCUGACAGGUGCCCCAGGCGGUCUUGAUCAGGGGUCGAAGCUGCCCCGUGGACAGAAGGGCCAGACAGGACAGAGGGGCCAUAAUUUCAGUCUCCCGCCACGGAAGCCACAGAGCCCAAAGGGCUAAAGGAAGCCUCCUCCCCCACGGUCAGAGGGGUGGGGGUGCAGCCCUGUUUACAGCGUGCAGGGGGGCAUCUCAUAGUGCCAGGAGCAGCAGAACAGAGGAGCAAAGGACUGGACCUGAGUUACAGGAAGGUCACUAAGGCUUGGGGUCCCAAUGCAUUCAGGAUCCUCCAGAAGCCUGCAACCUCCCAUGUAGUCUGUGGGUAUCCUCUCUGGCCAACCUCAACAAGUGGAACGAGACCCAACCCAACCCUAAUCAGGGGGCCCUGGACCCUGCUUAAAGGCUGCAGUCUGGGGGCGGGUGCGCAGAACGGCUGGCCUAGGGCAGGGCACUCGUCUCCAGGGCCUCGGGCAGGGAAUACAGUGCCUGCCCCGAGAAGGAGGGCAGGAACCCCGCAUGCGAGGUACCGAGUGGCCGAAAAAACAUGCCAGCGUCCCAAUAAGAGGGGGUCUCCCCGCCGCAAUGCCCGGCGCGGCCACAGGGGGGCGGCUCUGAGCAGGGAUUUGUCUUCACCUUCACCUGCUGCGGCAAUGCCGGGACGCGGCCACCGGAGGGCAGCAUCGAGCACCGAUUCGCCUCCCCUCCGCGGCGCCGCUCCUCGUGGCUGCAGUGCUGGGAGCGCACCACACGAGGGCAGCACUGAGCCGGAGUUCGUGAGGGGAGUGGCGACGCCCGGGGCCGCUUAGUGCGCAGGCGGAGCCGGCGGGGACGUGCCGCGGGGGAGGAGCGGCCCCGGCCCCGGCCCCGGCCCCGCACACGGGCGCGUCCUUCCCUCGCGGCGGCGGCGGCGGCAACAGGAGCGGCCGCGUUGUAUCUCUGUGUCUGUAUGUGGAACCUCAUUUGGAGACAACGACAAAAGUCUAAAUUUGAGGCCCUCCGUGGCUGAGAGGCCCUGGCCAAAUGGCCCUCCUGGCCCCCCAUGUGAUAGGCCCUGCUGAUGGUGUUGGGUGCCUAAGCGCGGGACGUGGAAGAGCCCCGAUUUGCAGAAAACGUGGAAAACCCUGCACCCGUGAGACGACUAUCACAGCUCUUCAGGGUGCUUAAUGGCAGGCACUCAAACCCACUGGCUCUCGGGGAAAGCUCUGCCCCUGCCCCUGCCCCCGGUGCAAAGAUGAAGAUGAAGACAUGAACUUCCCGGUGAGAGCACAAGCGACAGGCAGGGGAGCGCAGGGAGCAGAGCGGCUUGUGACCCACGGCUCCUCGGGGCUGCAGUGAACGGGGACACAGCAAGAGCACCCGUCACUGCCGGGGCUGCAGCUUGCACUGGGCCGAGCCCCUCGGAUCUGCGUUUGUGGGCACGAGGACGAGAGGCGCCUGCGAUGGGGCUUGGGCUUAAGAAGGCUCAACAGUUAACCUGAUGUGAACCAGCCAAAGGCAAGAGGAGACAUGUAUCUUAUAUCUACAUUAAUCAGAAACCUCUACUUAAUCAAACGUGUUUCUGUUUCAAUGCUUAAAAAAUAUUUAUUCCCUCCUUCCAGCCAAAUGCCCUGGAAAUGCACGACGUAUUUUCCCCAAUAUUUAAAAUAAGUAAUAGGUUUGAAAAUAUAAUUCACUGAUUAACCAUGGUCACAGAUGCCCAGGGGGGCUGGCCUCCCAGCACAGCCUCUUUGCACACAUAGCAAGCAGUGCCACCAAUUCACGAAGGGGCCCGAGGGCUGCAGCUAUGCUAGGCCUUGAACCCACCACCUUUGCCACCAUGGGUAGCACCCUUACCACCAUGAAAAAAGAAAAGGCUGAGAGAUCUUCCUGCUGUGGGCCCCUUGAGGUGCAACAGCCAAGCCCCCUCCCCACAAAAGGUGGAGAGACCUGGACCAGAACCCAGGACCUCAGCACUCUCUGUGGGAGGUCCAACACUGUGCACUACAGAAUAAAGAUGGCUGAAGCCCUCA